CACAGUGUCCCCAUGUCUCCCAGUGUCCCCAUGUCCCCUGCCAGUGUCCCUGGUGUCUCAGUGCCCCCUAGUCUCCCAGUGUCUCACUGUCCCCAUGUAUCCUAGUGCCUCCAUGUCUCCCAGUGCCUCAAGUGUCUCAAUGUCCCCAUGUCUCCAAGCUAGUGUCCCUAGUGUCUGUGGCCCUGGUGUCUCAGUGUCCCCAUGUCUCCCAGUGCCCCCAUGUCUCAAUGUCCCCAUGUCCCCCAGCCAGUGUCUCUAGUGUCUGUGUCCCCAUGUCUUCAAGUGUCCCCUAUUUUCC